rnacentral:lncRNA from 1 species
UGAUAUCUUCUGGGACUUGAAAUCUGCUAAAUUCAACGGCGAAACCGAGCCUGGAUCUGAUUACUACGUUGCUGUUGUUAGCGAGGAAGAGAUUGUUUUACUCCUUGGGGAUCUAAAGCAAGAUGCUUAUAGGAAAACCGGAUGCAGGCCUGCAAAUUUUAACCCCAUUUUUGUCUCGAGAAAAGAGCAUAUAUUUGGGAAAAAGAAGUUCAGUUCAAGAGCUAAAUUUCAUGAAAAAGGUAGGUUUCAUGAGAUCUCAAUCGAAUGCAAGAGUGGGGUUGAUGAUGAACCUGAAAUGGAGAUGAGAAUUGAUGGACAAUUGGUCCUACAUGUCAAGCAUCUCCAAUGGAAAUUUAGAGGUAAUGAGUCCAUUUACG